UUGUUCCAUAUAGAAAAGAGGCUUACCUAGAAAUGGAAUUUAAAGAGGCAAUUACUGCAAUUAUGAAGUACAUUGAAACAACACCUCUUACGAUAAAAGGAAAAAGUGUGAAAAUAUGUGUUCCAGGAAAGAAAAAAGCACAGGUAAUCUGGAUUUAGGUCUUAAAUGUUUUAUCACUGUUGUUUUAGUUUAACUUUUUUGUUUAAGUAUGGCACACAUAUAGAAAUAGGCAUAGAAACAUAAAUGUUAGCUCAACACAUUAUAUGUGCAUUAAUUCAAGUAUGUUGAAAUUAAAACUUCCUCAUACAUGUAUGGUGCUAUAUACAGUAUUAAAUAACGACGACUAGGAGAAAAUACUUGCCAUAUAUAACACAAAAAUAGCAAACAUCUGUGAAUCUGGUACCUAGGUCACAAAAGAGAACAUUUGACAGUAUCUGGAAGUCCCUUGCUUGCUUCUUCCCAAUUCUUACACCCUCCCUUCUUCUCACAAGUAAACACUAACUUGAUUUCUAAUGCCAUAGUUGAGUUUUGCCUGUUUUCAACUUUACAUAAACAAAAUCGUAUAGUGUACAUUCUUUGGGCCUUUACUUCCUUAGAAGUAUCAAGUUUUGUAACUUUAAUUUUUCUAGAUCAUUUCUGUGCUUCAGUUCAUAUGAUCGUAGAUAAUAUCUAUAGAAUUACUUUAAAUUACCCUUUAAGGAUGAGCUUUCUGUUAAGUAAAAAGCUAUAUGUAUAUCUCACCUGUAAGGUUUUCUUUGUGUAUGUGUGUGUUUUUUAAAAUAGGGUGUUGAGAAAAUAUUUUUAUAUCUUAAAAAAAA
rnacentral:lncRNA from 10 species